GGGGAUGUAGCUCAGUUGGGAGAGCGCCACGUUCGCAACGUGGAAGCCGGGGGUUCGAGUCCCCCCAUCUCCACCA
rnacentral:tRNA from 1 species